UACGAAGGGGGCUAGCGUUGCUCGGAAUCACUGGGCGUAAAGGGUGCGUAGGCGGGCCUUUAAGUGAGGGGUGAAAUCCUGGAGCUCAACUCCAGAACUGCCUUUGAUACUGAAGAUCUUGAGUUCGGGAGAGGUGAGUGGAACUGCGAGUGUAGAGGUGAAAUUCGUAGAUAUUCGCAAGAACACCAGUGGCGAAGGCGGCUCACUGGCCCGAUACUGACGCUGAGGCACGAAAGCGUGGGGAGCAAACAGG
rnacentral:rRNA from 1 species